UGCUAAUGAUGAUCUUGAUAUGGGCCUGAAUUGAGAAAUGUUGUCAACAACACGAGCUUUUUAAUGCUGAUGAAA